rnacentral:rRNA from 1 species
GAAUAUUGGACAAUGGGGGGAACCCUGAUCCAGCCAUGCCGCGUGUGUGACGAAGGCCUUUUGGUUGUCAAGCCCUUUCAGCGAGGAGGAGGCGCUCUUCGUUAAUACCCACGAUUCUUGGACGUUACUCGCAUAAUUAGCACAGGCUAACUCUGUGCCAGCAGCCGCGGUAAUCCAGAGGGUGCAAGCGUUAAUCGGAUUUACUGGGCGUAAAGCGCGCGUAGGUGGACAAUUAAGGCAAAUGUGAAAUCCCGGAGCUUAACUUGGGAAUUGGAUUAGAUACUGGUUGGCGAGAGUAUGGGAGAGGAGGGUAGAAUGCCAGGUGUAGCGGUGAAAUGCGUAGAGAUCUGGAGGAAUACCGAUGGCGAAGGCAGCCAUCUGGCCUAAUACUGACACUGAGGUGCGAAAGCAUGGGGAGCAAACA